UCACACGCCAACGGGGGCUCGCACCAGCGGGCUGAGAGGACGGCUAGGGCCGUCGACCGUAUGAACCUGACCGGGUAAUGCCGGCGUAGGGAGGAAAAUCAUGGCAACU
rnacentral:ncRNA from 2 species